rnacentral:tRNA from 1 species
AAAAAAAACAAAAAAAUUCGCAGUCAGCAGGAUUCGAACCUACGCGGGCAGAGCCCAAUUGAUUUCGAGUCAAUCUCCUUAACCACUCGGACAUGACUGCACAG